CUUGGUCAUUUAGAGGAAGUAAAAGUCGUAACAAGGUUUCCGUAGGUGAACCUGCGGAAGGAUCAUUAUCGAAUAAACUUGAACAGGCUGUUUGCUGGUCUCUCCUGGGACAUGUGCACGCUUGUCAUCUUUAUCAUUUCUCCAAACCUGUGCACCUCUUGUAGACCUGGAGCUGGAUUUCAUUCGAGUUGCCCCCCUCCUGUGCUUUCACACAAGUCAGCUUUGCCUUGCAUUUCCAUGGUCUAUGUUCACACAAAACCUGUUUUAGAAUGGUUGGCAAAAUGAAAUUAAAGUUAUACAACUUUCAGCAACGGAUCUCUUGGCUCUCGCAUCGAUGAAGAACGCAGCGAAAUGCGAUAAGUAAUGUGAAUUGCAGAAUUCAGUGAAUCAUCGAAUCUUUGAACGCAUCUUGCGCUCCUUGGUAUUCCGAGGAGCAUGCCUGUUUGAGUGUCAUUUUAACUUCUCAAUCAUGUCGAAUUUAUUUUUCGAGGUGGCUUGGAUUGUGGGGGUUUGCGGGCUUCAAUAUGAAGUCGGCUCCUCUGAAAUGCAUUAGUGGUAAUCUGAAGCAGAACUGCUACUAUUAGGUGUGAUAAUUAUCUAUGCCUUUUUGGUGUACUGCAUGAAACAGAUUGUGCUGCUUUCCAACUGUGCACCUUUCUCCUAGGGUGUGUUUUGACAAAUUUGACCUCAAAUCAGGUAGGACUACCCGCUGAACUUAAGCAUAUCAAUAAGCGGGAGGAA
rnacentral:rRNA from 1 species